rnacentral:lncRNA from 1 species
CUAAAACCGAAACAGCUCCGGUUAAAUCCCCCCGCUCAGCUAAAACCCUAGCUUCGGAGAUUGCUUCCGCCGCACGCAACCUAAUUUUCUGUCUAUCAACUUCAACGGACACCACAGGUCUUCCUUCCAACACCGGUCUGAGAAUCUUCACUUCGCCGGAAUUACUCAAAUCAACCGUCUCUUUCGUCACGGGGUCUCUGUAAACGCAUCCAACCUUGAGCAACGACAUUGUAUCCAAAACGCCAUCGAGAACGGGAACAUCAAGAUUCACCAAGAAGUUCCUCUCCUCCUCUGCAUAAAGAUCACCGACUUCGAUCGAACCGGUUCUCGAAUCAAACCGGUAGCUUCCAGCUUUAACCGAACCAAUCUUCAACAUAGGAUGAACACACUCGAUCUUAACGCGCAGCUCUUGAACCAUAACCAUAAGAUGAAAGUACGUAUUGUUAUUAUAAUAUCUUUUAUUAGUAAAAUAAGUAAAUGAAAACUCAAUUUUUAUUAUUAAGCAAGAGAGAGAGUGCGGUAUUUAGUGCGUACCACACCAUAUUAGCCGUAGUAUAUGAAUUUAGCAGUAGUAUAUGAAUGUACCACACCAUAUUAGCAGUAGUAUAUGAAAAGUGAGUUAUUUGCAUGAAACUGAACAAACAAAAAAAUAUUUUUUCAACUGCGUUAUUUCAUGAAAAAACGCUCUUGAUAUUACAUUUCUCUUGAUUGGUGACAUUUACAAUUUUAAGUCACAUCAAGUCCAAAUACCCACCGCACUAUGGUUUCCAUUCAUAACCUAAGAAUAGUUGACAAAAAAAAACGUUGACCAAAAAAAAGUAUAUGGAUAAGAAUAUAUUGAUUUAAUAUAUGUAUGUGUAAGCUAGCUAACACACAAAUAACAGAAGAGCCGAAUUGAAUUGAAUUGAAUUGAAUUGAAUUUGUCAGUAUGAUUUUUCUGAUGGCUGAAGACGACGAAAUUUCCCAUAAAAGUUUUUAACCAGAAAACGUAAAUUGGUACCCAACUAACCAACACGCGGACGUUAAAUAUUGUUAGAAAUACCAACUUCUUAUAAGUUGAUACUAUAUACUGUAGUAAGUCUAGACAUGCAUUUUCUAUUUAGCUUAGAAACUAUACAUAUUCACAUUCUUAUAACUAGAAGUGAUAAACCGAUCUGUUAAUAAAACUAAUAACAGCCUAACAGGUGAUAAACUCAAAGAAAAAUAUUAGGAAAUACAUAACAGUCGUGAAAACUAUUUACAUAGUUCAUCAUUUGGAAAAUAAGGUGUACUAAGGGAAUUUAGCAAAAGCAUAUUAAAUUUUAGCAUAUUUAUGAAAGAACAUUUCUCCACAAUCACAAGAUUCACAACUCACAAAAGCUUAUACCCCCACCAAAACAUUAAGGAAAAAUAACAAAAUUAUAAAUUAUAAUGAGGAAAAAAAAACAAGUCACUCUUACUAAAAAUGCCAAUAUAUACGAUAUACCUAAUACAUUUUUCUUACCACCGAUUCCACAUUUGUCCCGUUUUCUUUUUGUUUCAACCCUCCAGAAGCUAAUCAUUCAACUUAUACCCCCAAAACUGAAAACUUAAACGUAAACUACCCUCCCAAAUUGCAAAACAAAUUUUCAUAAGAAAAAAAAAAACGAAGAAAAUUUUAAAAAUGCAUAAUGUCAGCAAGUAGCUUCCAGCAAUCACCUAGCUCUAGGCCUCGCCGGAAAAGUGAGAGCUUGCCGGAGCUUCCUCCGAGCCGAGGGGCUUGGAUUAGGAUUCGAACUCGAGUUCCCAUUAGAACUAGCCCUAGGGCAUCCAAACGUCAUGGUCUGAGAGAGAUUCACCAUAUCCACCAUCGACUGCGUCUGGUAACUCAUCGUCGUAGUAUCACUCAUGUCACCUCUCGCCGUGGCUCUCUGCCACGAGUGCGAGCUAAGCCCCGCGAGAACGUAAGCCCUGCCAGAACUCUCGUACACUUGACGGCUCGCCAUCCUCUCCUGCGUCUCCUUCAGCUCUGCACACAGCGACACACACAACGCAUCUCCAGCUCUCCCCGACACAGUCUCCGACAAAACCCCACGACAAGUCUCUAAAACCGAAACAGCUCCGGUUAAAUCCCCCCGCUCAGCUAAAACCCUAGCUUCGGAGAUUGCUUCCGCCGCACGCAACCUAAUUUUCUGUCUAUCAACUUCAACGGACACCACAGGUCUUCCAAAAAAAAACAAGUCACUCUUACUAAAAAUGCCAAUAUAUACGAUAUACCUAAUACAUUUUUCUUACCACCGAUUCCACAUUUGUCCCGUUUUCUUUUUGUUUCAACCCUCCAGAAGCUAAUCAUUCAACUUAUACCCCCAAAACUGAAAACUUAAACGUAAACUACCCUCCCAAAUUGCAAAACAAAUUUUCAUAAGAAAAAAAAAAACGAAGAAAAUUUUAAAAAUGCAUAAUGUCAGCAAGUAGCUUCCAGCAAUCACCUAGCUCUAGGCCUCGCCGGAAAAGUGAGAGCUUGCCGGAGCUUCCUCCGAGCCGAGGGGCUUGGAUUAGGAUUCGAACUCGAGUUCCCAUUAGAACUAGCCCUAGGGCAUCCAAACGUCAUGGUCUGAGAGAGAUUCACCAUAUCCACCAUCGACUGCGUCUGGUAACUCAUCGUCGUAGUAUCACUCAUGUCACCUCUCGCCGUGGCUCUCUGCCACGAGUGCGAGCUAAGCCCCGCGAGAACGUAAGCCCUGCCAGAACUCUCGUACACUUGACGGCUCGCCAUCCUCUCCUGCGUCUCCUUCAGCUCUGCACACAGCGACACACACAACGCAUCUCCAGCUCUCCCCGACACAGUCUCCGACAAAACCCCACGACAAGUCUCUAAAACCGAAACAGCUCCGGUUAAAUCCCCCCGCUCAGCUAAAACCCUAGCUUCGGAGAUUGCUUCCGCCGCACGCAACCUAAUUUUCUGUCUAUCAACUUCAACGGACACCACAGGUCUUCCUUCCAACACCGGUCUGAGAAUCUUCACUUCGCCGGAAUUACUCAAAUCAACCGUCUCUUUCGUCACGGGGUCUCUGUAAACGCAUCCAACCUUGAGCAACGACAU